GCCCCAGGCUCACGUGCCUCGCUUCGUCCUGCAGCUUUCUAGCCUUUUGGGAGAAAGGGAGGGGUGAGCGUGAGCGGGCUGCGGUCCAGACGCACGGACCGGCGCACAGGACAGCAGCACUCUGGCCCCAGAGCCGGAGCCCGCCUUCCCCGAGGGGCCUACUCGUCCCGGGACUUCUGAGCAGCGGGGCCGGCUGAGCGCACCUCUGUCCUUCGGAGGACAACGGUCUCUUUGGUCAGCCGUGAGCUGCUCCUCCCGGGGUCCCGUCAGGGCCCUGCCUGGCCCCUUGGCCGGCAGCUGCUGGAGUAAGCGCCCGGUGACGGAGGGAUAGAGGCUCUCCUGCGCGCACGGCCGGGGUCGGCCCCCUCCCUGCCCACGAUCCCCCUCCCGAUCACGCCUGACCCGGGAGGGCAGGGCUGCAACUGCCCCCUCGCCCUACAGACACAGCCACAGGACCCGGGGUCCCUGACCGCUGAGGGAGAUCCCACGUUCCUCGCCAGUCCACUGGGCCCUUGGGGGGACGGAGUGGCCAGCAUGGAGGAGCAGGUCUUCCCUGCCUCUGCCCUGAGAGACGCUGGCCCGUGGGAACCUGUGUUUGCUGCACUGUGCCUGUCCCAUCCCCCAAGGAGGGACCCGUCCUCCGAGCUCCCCCAUGUUCCUCUGUUCGGCCUCCCUGGGGUGUGACCUGGACGCCGCCUGCAGCCCAGCACCGGAGGUCCCCGUGCAUAGAGCCGUCACAGCCGGGGACAUUCAGGCAAUGUCACGAAGACUAGGAUAGCUCUCACCCAGCCCUGCACAGCCCCAAAUCCGCCGGUAACUCUUCAUUCCCCCAAACUUCUCGAAGAGCCCACUACUGGCCAGAGCCCCGGUCCACUAGUACAUGCUGUGUGCGCCAUGUGGGUUCUCCCGGGAACGAUGACCCUUACUGCGCCCCCAGAGGUCACACGCCUUGCGAGGGGGCACCGGGCUUGCCCCCGGGGCGACUGUAGCUGCUGCCCAUCCAGCAGUGUCCACCGCAGACCGCUUCUUCCCCGUAGAAAUCGGCGUUGUCUGUGGGUUAAGAACUGCUCCUUCGGAAGGCUUCCCCUGUCUCUGACACACCCGUGACGCCGUCCGCAAUGUCCUCUGCCCUUGGCUGGGGGCUCAGCCUCCUCUGCCUGCCCAGGAGACACCCUGCAGGCUCCUCGCCGCACUCCGGCCUGGUGACCUGCAUAGCGGGUGGCCUGGGGGCUCCCAGGCGCUCUCUUGGUCAGCGUCUUUUGUUCUGGAAUAUCUACUCCUCUUUCCUGCUCUGCUGCCUUGUUUGGAGAAACGCGUUCUGCGGUGGCUUCCCAAGGAAAGCUGUGUGGAAAGUGCUGUGUCUGCGACCCCGCCCGCGAAUGCCCCGGUCCUCUGCGGGCGCCUGGCCUGGGGACUGGAGCACAGCACUCCCCCGCCCCCCGGGGAGGAGUCCACUCCGUCUCCUCUCCCCCGGCCCUUCCCGUGCGCCCUUCCAGCCAUCUCAGGUCUCGGUUUCAGAUCAGAAAACAGAGGCUUCCUUCCUGUAGAGCCGUCUUCAUGGCCCACCCGCCGGGACACUGGUCACGAUCCAGGAACCGACAGGGUGUGUCGUCGCCUGGGUUCCGCAGUGCCCGCCAGGGCUCACUGUUGUGUUGGACAGGGGCAGGUGUCCGUCACUGCGCGGUCACAGCGGCUCCGCUGCCCCGAGCGCCCUGCCCCUCCCUCCCGGCAACCACCGGUCCUGUGUCUGCGGAGUUGGGCCUCUUCCAGAACGUCAUACAGCCGUCCCCCUUCUCCGCUUGGCUCUCUCACCUGGCUCUCUCACGUGCAUUUGUGGUUCCCUCAGGUCUUUCUAGGGCAGGGUAGCUCAUUCCUUUUUAACACCAGAUGAUAUUCCGUGGGACCCGUAGGCCGGGCGUCUCGGCUGUUCCUGGUGACGGAGUAAAGCUGCCGCAGACACCCGUGAGCAGCUUUAGCGGGGACCGAAGUUUUCAGCUCUUCAGGUAACUGCCAAGGAGCACAGCUGCUGAGUCUCCAGGUAAGAGCACACUUGACUGUAACAAGUUACCACACUGUCGGACCCAGUGCUGGCACGUGGGACUCCCGCGUCCCCACCAGUGGUGAAGGAGAACUCCGGCUGCUCGUGCCCUCACCGGCCUCUGGCGGGUCAGUGACUAGGGUCAGAGCCGUCCGCACGCAUGUGAGUGUUCACGGGCAGUCCCCUAAUGACGUACACCAGCGGCAUCUUUUCCAGCACUUCAUGCCUCUGCAUCUUUUCUGGUGAGGCGUCUGCUCAGACCGGAUGCUUGAGCUCUGUUUUCUUUCUACAGUCUGGGUAGCAGCCCUUUAUCCAGUGGUGUGUUUUACAAGUAUUUUCUCCAAGUUUCUGUCUUGUCUUGUUCUUUUCACAGCAUCUUUCAUGGAGAAAACAUUUUAUAUUUUAAAAGAAGUCAAGUUACCAAUUUUUUGUGCAAUACCUUUGGUGGUGUUCUAUGUAAAAACUCCCUGCCAGCCCGAGGUCACCUGCCCUUUCUCCUGUUGUACUUCCCAGUGUUGCCGUUUCACGUCUUACAUUUCGGCCUGUGAUGCGCGCCGGGUCAGCUUCCGUGAAGGUGCGCGGUCUGGCUCUCGACUCCCCAUCUCGCACGUGUCCCAGCACCAUCUGCUGAAGACGCCGCCGUCGCUCCGUCCCGCGUCCGUCACUGUCGUCCCUGGGUCUGUUUCUCUGAUCCACUGGCCCGUCUGUCUACUUCUUCACCCACGCCACACCGUCCUCAUUACCGCACUUCGCAGGGAGCCUUGAGGCCGGGCAACGCCAGUCUCCGAGCUUGUGCCUCCCCUUCAGGGUCCGUGAGAUUGAGCCCGUGUGUCCUCUCCAUCCGAACGUCAGCAUCGGGCGUCGACAGCCGCGGCACAGCUUGCUGGGAUCCUGCCUGGGACGGUGCGGAAUCUCGGGUCUCCCCAUCCAUGAACAUGGGAUUCCUCUCCACUCACUUGGCUCUUUGAUUUUGGCAUCAGAGAUUUAUUUUUCUCAGAUGGAUCCUGACAUAUUUUGUUAGAUUUGUAUCUAGCACCAGGUUCUUAAAUUGAAAUCCCACUCAGUUGCGGAUGUACUGCUAGGACUUCCCACAUGAUGCUGGAGAGAUGUUCAGAAGCGACGUCCCUGCCUUGUUCCUGACCUUCAGGAGAAAGGGUGGUUCUAGUUUCUCACCACGAAGGAUGACGUUCACUGUAGCUACAGAGAUCACAAGUAGGCAGAGAGGCAG